rnacentral:lncRNA from 1 species
AACAUCUACAUCUUUCUUCAUGGAGUUUGAUAAACACAAAGAACUAAAAUGAUCGAAGCUCCAAAAAUUACUAAGGCACAUGAUUUAAGUAUAAAAAAAAUAGAAAUUGUCGAUUCGAAACAAAGAAUGAUGGAUCGGUUCUAUCCACUCCCGUUGGUCGUAAUUUUGCGAAAAAAUUAGGUAUAAAUCUCGAAGAAGUUCGUGAGACCCUGAAAGAGGGAAAAGUAUAAAAGAUGAUGUCACCAGUUAUGCUGAAGGAGUUUUAAAGAGAAGUCCAGCUUUAGUAAAUUCUUCUUGUGCUACAACCAUCUUUAAAAGAGUUUCUCCCACCUAUAUCAAAUUUUCGUCAAGCCAUUAUAAGCUUGAUAAGGAGCACAAAUUUUAAAUAUAUAAAGGUAAUCAAUAAACAUUCGCUUUCUUACCAAAACGAACUGUAUGAAGAAGCUGCAGAUUCUCAUCAACUUUUCUCUUCGACAACUUGAAAGCCACUGAAAAAAAAUCACAUUAAAAUAGCUCAUUUUAUCAAAAAGAGUGUGUGUGCUAAAUCUUAUUACAUCAUGUAAUAUCA